GUAGUCUCGCACAGAUGCAUAUCAAUAAGCGGAGGAAAAGAAACUAACAAGGAUUCCCUUAGUAACGGCGAGUGAGGCGGGAAGAGCUCAAAUUUGAAAUCUUCAAGGUUUUACCUUGACGAAUUGUAGUUUAAAGAAGUGUUUUCUGUUGAAGUUUUGGUAAAAGUUCUUUGGAAUAGGACAUCAUAGAGGGUGAGAAUCCCGUAUUUGACCAUUUACUUUCAGCUGUGUGAUACACUUUCAAAGAGUCGGAUUGUUUGGGAAUGCAGUCCAAAAUGGGUGGUAAAUUUCAUCUAAAGCUAAAUAUUGGCGAGAGACCGAUAGCGAACAAGUACCGUGAGGGAAAGAUGAAAAGAACUUUGAAAAGAGAGUUAAACAGUACGUGAAAUUGUCAAAAGGGAAGCGUUUGACACCAGUGUUGUUUUCUCGAAAAUCAAUUAAAAAGAGUUUGAUUUUGUUGUGUAUUGACCUUAACAGCUUGCAUUUCAAUUUUCUUGCUUUUUUUAAUGCACUUUUCGUUUAACAAGUCAACAUCAGUUUCUUUUGUUGUAAAAAGGUCAUUGGAAGGUGGCUUUCUUUUCGGAGAAAGUGUUUAUAGCCUUUGACUCCUGCAAUCGGAGAGACUGAGGUCUGCAGCGUAGAUCCUUCGGGGUUAGAUACAUUUGUGCUAAGUUAUAGCUUUUUAUAGACAACUUGUUGACUAUGAUUAGUCUUGUAGCUUACUCGCUUAUGCUAUUUUACCUACGCUUAGGAUGUUGAGCGCAUGUCUCUCUCU
rnacentral:rRNA from 1 species